rnacentral:rRNA from 1 species
GAUGAACGCUAGCUACAGCAUUAACACAUGCAAGUCGAGGGGUAACGAGAGGAAAGAUUGCUUUCCUUGUCGACGACAGGCGCACGGGUGAGUAACGCGUAUCCAACCUGCCCCCAACUAGGCAAUAACCUUGCGAAAGUAAGCCUAAUACUCUAUAAUUUCGUCCGUUGUCACUUGACGAGGAAUAAAGAUUUAUCGGUUGUGGAUGGGGAUGCGUCUGAUUAGCUUGUUGGCGGGGUAACGGCCAACCAAGGCAACGAUCAGUAGGGGUUCUGAGAGGAAGGUCCCCCACAUUGGAACUGAGACACGGUCCAAACUCCUACGGGAGGCAGCAGUGAGGAAUAUUGGUCAAUGGGCGGAAGCCUGAACCAGCCAAGUAGCGUGCAGGAUGACGGCCCUAUGGGUUGUAAACUGCUUUUAUACAGGAAUAAAGUUAGCCACGUGUGGUUAUUUGUAGGUACUGUAUGAAUAAGGACCGGCUAAUUCCGUGCCAGCCGCCGCAGUAA